UGCUGAAAAGAUUGUAGACACAUCAAAAGAAUAUCAGGCUGAAAUGAAUGAAAAUAAAUCACCAAAAGAUGAUUCAAAGAAGGGGAGCGCAAAAUAUUCAAUCAGAAGCAUCCAUUCGUAUCUCAUCCGAUUAAUGAUAUAGAAGACACUAAGGUUACCAACAAGUUUUUGAAGUGACUGUCUGUGGAUAUUCUUAAAUUUCAUGCAAAAAGAAGCAACAAACAAGAACACUAUAAGAAGGGCAAGUCCAAAAUAUCAGUAAUUAAUUUUAGAGUUUUAGCUGUGAAAAACAAGAAUUGGUUCUACAUUAUGGAUACUCCUGGACAAUCAUGG